AUACGGAGGGUGCGAGCGUUAUCCGGAUUUAUUAGGUUUAAAGGGUGUGUAGGCGGGAGCCUAAGUCAGUGGUGAAAUCUCACAGCUUAACUGUGAAACUGCCAUUGAAACUGGGUUUCUUGAGUAUAGUUGAGGUAGGCGGAAUGUGUAAUGUAGCGGUGAAAUGCAUAGAUAUUACACAGAACACCGAUUGCGGAGGCAGCUUACUAAGCUAUUUCUGACGCUGAUGCACGAAAGCGUGGGUAGCGAACAGGAUUAGAAACCCCAGUAGUCC
rnacentral:rRNA from 1 species